rnacentral:rRNA from 1 species
AAAUCAACUUUAUAACGGCGUAAAGAGUGGUCGCAUGCUAUCCAAGUAACUAAGAUUAAAAAGCAACUGAGUCGUCACAAGCCCAAGAUGCAUAUAAGGCCGCUAUUCAAAGAAAAUCUUAGACUAACGACCAAUUGAAACCACGAAAGCCAGGGCCCAAACUGGGAUUAGAUACCCCACUAUGCCUGGCCCUAAAUCUUGAUGCUCGAUCUAACCGGAGCAUCCGCCCGAGAACUACGAGCACCAACGCUUAAAACUCUAAGGACUUGGCGGUGCUCCAAACCCACCUAGAGGAGCCUGUUCUGUAAUCGAUGAUCCACGAUACACCUGACCAUUCCUUGCCAAUACAGCCUAUAUACCGCCGUCUCCAGCCCACCCCCCAUGAAGGCCCAACAGU